ACAAGCGGUGGAUGAUGUGGUUAAUUCGAUGCAACGCGAAAACCUUACCCACCUUGACAUGUACGGAAUCCUUUAGAGAUAGAGGAGUGCUCGAAAGAGAGCCGUAACACAGGUGCUGCAUGGCUGUCGUCAGCUCGUGUCGUGAGAUGUCGGGUUAAGUCCCGCAACGAGCGCAACCCUUGUCAUUAGUUGCUACAUUCAGUUGGGCACUCUAAUGAGACUGCCGGUGACAAACCGGAGGAAGGUGGGGAUGACGUCAAGUCCUCAUGGCCCUUAUAGUGGGGGCUACACACGUCAUACAAUGGAUGGUACAAAGGGUCGCCAACCCGCGAGGGGGAGCCAAUCCCAUAAAGCCAUUCGUAGUCCGGAUCGCAGUCUGCAACUCGACUGCGUGAAGUCGGAAUCGCUAGUAAUCGUGGAUCAGAAUGUCACGGUGAAUACGUUCCCGGGUCUU
rnacentral:rRNA from 1 species